CUCCGAGUACCUUGAGGAUGUUCUGGAAGAGCUGACAUAUGGACCUGCCCCGGACCUGGUGAUCAUCAACUCCUGCCUCUGGGAUCUCUCCAGAUAUGGUCGCUGCUCAAUGGAGAGCUACCGGGAGAACCUGGAGCGGGUGUUUGUGCGCAUGGACCAAGUAUUGCCAGACUCCUGCCUGCUGGUGUGGAACAUGGCGAUGCCCCUCGGGGAGCGUAUCACUGGGGGUUUCCUCCUGCCAGAGGCCAGCCUUUCCCACCCCAUGAAUUCUUCAACUAUAAUCCAGUGGAGGACUUCUCGAUGCCAUCCCACUUAGGAUGUGGCCCUGGAGUGAACUUUGUGCCUGGCCCUCUGCCACCUCCAAUCCCUGGCCCUAAUCCCCAUGGUCAGCACUGGGGCCCAGUGGUCCACCGGGGGAUGCCACGCUAUGUUCCUAACAGCCCCUACCAUGUGCGGAGAAUGGGGGGGCCCUGCAGGCAGCGGCUCAGACACUCAGAGAGACUGAUCCACACAUACAAACUGGACAGACGGCCUCCUGCCCAUUCGGGGACAUGGCCUGGGUAGACUGGAUCUUGGGCUGGGACUGGAUGUGCCAAUGGCCCUGCAGGGCCUGCCUGGCACCUCAGGUACUGGGCUAGGGUGUCUGCUAUGCCUGGUAUUGUUCUUGUCCAUUGCUGUCACCAAUAAAGGCAUGGAAGAACAGAGUGACAAA
rnacentral:sRNA from 1 species